AAAAUUGUCCACUUUGUCCACUCGCAGUUUACAACUUGUCGUGGCAUCAGUUCGCAAAAAAGUGUGGCGGAUUUUCUUCCUGUUUUUUUCAAUCAUCGUUUCCGGAUCUGGAAUGAAAAGAGGAGGAGUCGUGACUGGAACGUCGUCUUUCGUGAUUGUCGUCUUGGUCUGUUUCGUCGUGAUGAUGGGGCCUGCAGAAUUUUGCAAUUUUCUUCCUUCCGUUGACGCCACCCCGGUGCCAACGCCGGCGACGACGACGACGACCACACCAUCGCCGACGACGACGCCAAGGAACUCGAAUAGUAUAAUUUUUUGCUUUCCCAGGACGAGGAAACCGGAGACCGGAACAAUCAUGGUGUUUUAGCUCCCCAUGCGGUGCAGAAUUUUACGAAUGUCCUGAAAACUGUUCGUAUGGAUAUCGACCGUGCACAAAGGCCAGGAUUGAAACCGUCUGUUGUUGCGGAUUCUAGCCAAAUUUUGCUUUAAAUUGAUUUAUUAUGAUUUACAUAUUAUGUUAUUUUUUUUUAGAUUAUUUUACUAUUUUUUUUCUUUAAGGUUAGGGUUUUCAAUGUUCGACUCCUUUGUAGUCAGCUUUUCCUACGUGUAAUAAUUGUGUAAAAUAUUGAGCUUUCAUUGUACCAUGCAUGUGUUAUUUAAAUAUGUAUACAUCAUUUCCAUGCAAAAGUAUUACUUCUCACAUAUUUAUUGUUAAGCGUACUGUUUACGACGUGACUCGUUUAGCAAAUAAUUUUUGCGAAAAAAACAGCGAUCCCGACAACUAGACUCAUUUAGGAAAUAAAUAGUUUAAUAAUUUUGCAGAUAAAAAUAUGCCACAAAUAAUUUGCUGGGCGAAUUUGGAACCAUAAUUCUCAUCAAUUUUUUCAUAGUUAAAAGUUUUGUUUUCGAAAUUUGACAAAAUUUGCAAACUUAAGUUUUCCAAUUUAUUUUUGCGAAAUUUGACGUGGACACGCCCAUUAUUAGCUGUUAUCCUCGUAAAUGUACAAAUACAUAUGUAAAUAAAGAAGCUUUCUUUCUCCACUUGCAUCGUCUUUCUUAAAAUUUUGGUAAUAAAGAAAAUUUCAGUUUUUA